AUAUAUAUAUAUAUAUAUAUAUAUAUAUACUGUUACAGAUUUGAUCGCCUCAUCUUCACACCAUUUAUUAUUUUAUUUUAGUUCUAAAAGAGCAGCCAUUUUUACCCUAACAUCAGCUGAUUUUAGGCGGGAAACCCAAAGCAGGCCAGCGAUCGUCAUCUUCCGUUUGUAGAUGGGGGGGAAUAAAGACUCCUGUAAGCCUUAGGGAUGUAUCCCAAAAGGAAGUGUGUAGCUAGCUAGGUACUUUUUAGGCAUACUCUUAAGAUCUUUUUCCCGUGAACCUCUCGCUGGCGAUAUCCUCUGUUUCCAGGAUGGCUGCAACAAGGGGGGAUAAGCUGACCCCAACACCCAAGCGCCGCACCUGCAUUCGUCCUCAGUCCUCUCCAGGCUGUGACCUAGGACAGAUGUCCCAGCCAGCCUUCAAAUAAGGCCACCAAAGGGGGCUAACUGGCGCCCCAGACCUCAGACAAAGCCGACGCCAAUUUCUACAAAGAUCCACUUACGUAAGGCUUCCAGAUUGGCUGAGUCACGUGUCCAAGUCACCCUGCUCGCAAGUGCUGCCUUAACGCAAGAUAAAUAUGAGUAACUUUGAAAACCAGCAUUUACGUUAAUCCGAUUUUAGCCAGCUCUCCCCUUGCGAGAGAUAAGCGUGGUCCACGUGCGGCCCAGUUGCUUUGCCUUUCAACUGUCUUCUAAAUAAAUGUAAUGUAGAUUAA